UGAGGAAUAUUGGUCAAUGGACGCAAGGCUGAACCAGCCAAGUUGCGUGCAGGAUGACUGCCCUAUGGGUUGUAAACUGCUUUUAUAUGGGGAUAAAGUGGGGAACGUGUUCCCUUUCGCAGGUAUCAUAUGAAUAAGGACCGGCUAAUUGCGUGCCAGCAGCCGCGGUAAUACGGAAGGUUCGGGCGUUAUCCGGAUUUAUUGAGUUUAAAGGGAGCGUAGGCCGUUUGGUAAGAGUGUUGUGAAAUGUAGGAGCUCAACUUCUAGAUUGCAGCGCGAACUGUCAGACUUGAGUGCGCACAACGUAGGCGGAAUUCAUGGUGUAGCUGUAAAAUGCUUAGAUAUCAUGAAGAACUCCGAUUGCUAAGGCAGCUUACGGGAUCGCAACUGACGCUGAAGCUCGAAGGUGCGGGUAUCGAACAGG
rnacentral:rRNA from 1 species